rnacentral:rRNA from 1 species
CCUACGGGGGGCAGCAGUGGGGAAUAUUGCACAAUGGACGCAAGCCUGAUGCAGCCAUGCCGCGUGUGUGAAGAAGGCCUUCGGGUUGUAAAGCACUUUCAGCGGGGAGGAAGGCGUUAAGGUUAAUAACCUUGGCGAUUGACGUUACCCGCAGAAGAAGCACCGGCUAACUCCGUGCCAGCAGCCGCGGUAAUACGGAGGGUGCAAGCGUUAAUCGGAAUUACUGGGCGUAAAGCGCACGCAGGCGGUCUGUCAAGUCGGAUGUGAAAUCCCCGGGCUCAACCUGGGAACCGCAUUCGAAACUGGCAGGCUAGAGUCUUGUAGAGGGGGGUAGAAUGCCAGGUGUAGCGGUGAAAUGCGUAGAGAUCUGGAGGAAUACCGGUGGCGAAGGCGGCCCCCUGGACAAAGACUGACGCUCAGGUGCGAAAGCGUGGGGAGCAAACAGGAUUAGAUACCCUUGUAGUC